CCUGUCCAAGACCAAGCUACCUUUCCUCGUGGGAAUGGACUGGCCGGGCUUUGGCAGUCUGGCCCGUCGAAAGACUAAAGUGACCUCUUCCAACAGGGGAAGACUGAAGCAAGCGGUGCCAGAAAGAACUGGAGUUUCUGGAGAAUAAAAGCUGGAGGUGUGCCCCUGAUAAUCCCCGCCCCGGGUGGUGAGUGGUCUGACUUGCACGGACCGGUGGCCUUGGCCAGGAGCGGUCCUGCCGGACUGUAAUUUUAAUUUCCUGCCCAGGCUGUAAUUUUAAUUUCCCUUGGAUGCUUGGCAAAGCCCCCCUGGGUGAGCCCUAGUGCCUGGCAUGAGCGGAGCGGGCUUCCAGGGAGGUAUUCACCUGGUCAGCGUCAGGAACCAUCCUCCCUGAAGCCUCGGCUCCCUCUUUCCCUUCGAUUGCCGUGGAUGUGCCGGACACCUCUGGCAGGACUAACCCUGUGGCUUUUAUGUCCGACGUGCUGUGUGCGUGCAGUAUCCUGUCCAAGACCAAGCUACCUUUCCUCGUGGGAAUGGACUGGCCGGGCUUUGGCAGUCUGGCCCGUCGAAAGACUAAAGUGACCUCUUCCAACAGGGGAAGACUGAAGCAAGCGGUGCCAGAAAGAACUGGAGUUUCUGGAGAAUAAAAGCUGGAGGUGUGCCCCUGAUAAUCCCCGCCCCGGGUGGUGAGUGGUCUGACUUGCACGGACCGGUGGCCUUGGCCAGGAGCGGUCCUGCCGGACUGUAAUUUUAAUUUCCUGCCCAGGCUGUAAUUUUAAUUUCCCUUGGAUGCUUGGCAAAGCCCCCCUGGGUGAGCCCUAGUGCCUGGCAUGAGCGGAGCGGGCUUCCAGGGAGGUAUUCACCUGGUCAGCGUCAGGAACCAUCCUCCCUGAAGCCUCGGCUCCCUCUUUCCCUUCGAUUGCCGUGGAUGUGCCGGACACCUCUGGCAGGACUAACCCUGUGGCUUUUAUGUCCGACGUGCUGUGUGCGUGCAGGUAAGAAAAGCUGGGAGUGCAGUCCCUCUGCUUUGCUUGCUGUGUCUCUUGGGUAGUGAUUUUGGAGGGGAAUCCCAGAGCGAUUUGGUUUGAAGGGGACCUUCAAAGGCCACCCUGCCUUCCGUGGGCAGGGACA